UGUUCCCAGAGCCUCUGUACUUGACCCUUC
rnacentral:piRNA from 1 species